GACGUAGGGUCCAAGCGUUGUCCGGAUUUACUGGGCGUAAAGAGCGCGUAGGCGGUCUGUUAAGUGAGAAGUGAAAUCUCCAGGGCUCAACCCGGAAACGGCUUCUCAUACUGGCAGACUAGAGGGAUGCAGAGGUUUGUGGAAUUCCUGGUGUAGCGGUGAAAUGCGUUGAUAUCAGGAGGAACACCCAUGGCGAAGGCAGCAAACUGGGCAUCAUCUGACGCUGAGGCGCGAAAGCGUGGGUAGCAAACAGG
rnacentral:rRNA from 1 species